CCUACGGGAGGCAGCAGUAAGGAAUAUUGGACAAUGGUCGCAAGACUGAUCCAGCCAUGCCGCGUGCAGGAUGAAUGCCCUAUGGGUUGUAAACUGCUUUUAUACGGGAAUAAACCCGGGUACGUGUACCCGGCUGAAUGUACUGUAAGAAUAAGGGUCGGCUAACUUCGUGCCAGCAGCCGCGGUAAU
rnacentral:rRNA from 1 species